rnacentral:rRNA from 1 species
CCUACGGGACGCAGCAGUGGGGAAUAUUGCACAAUGGGCGCAAGCCUGAUGCAGCCAUGCCGCGUGUAUGAAGAAGGCCUCCGGGUUGUAAAGUACUUUCAGCGGGGAGGAAGGUGUUGUGGUUAAUAACCACAGCAGUUGACGUUGCCCGCAGAAGAAGCACCGGCUAACUCCGUGCCAGCAGCCGCGGUAAUACGGAGGGUGCAAGCGUUAAUCGGAAUUACUGGGCGUAAAGCGCACGCAGGCGGUCUGUCAAGUCGGAUGUGAAAUCCCCGGGCUCAACCUGGGAACUGCAUUCGAAACUGGCAGGCUUGAGUCUCGUAGAGGGGGGUAGAAUUCCAGGUGUAGCGGUGAAAUGCGUAGAGAUGUGGAGGAAUACCGGUGGCGAAGGCGGCCCCCUGGACAAAGACUGACGCUCAGGUGCGAAAGCGUGGGGAGCAAACAGGAUUAGAUACCCGCGUAGUC